CAGUAACAGUGACACCAAACAUCUCUUUGGGUUCUCUGGAAGUGGAAUGCCAGGAAGAGAUCAUUGAUUUCUCUCAGUAUUUCACAUUGGAUAAUCCAGGAUUUAAAAAAAGAAGGCGAUGAGCCGGAUUUAGAAGGAAGCCAAUGUGAUGACCAAGCUUUGGGGAGCCAUAUUUUCAAGAUAUGAGAAGAAGAGCUGUUAAGAAAAGCAAAUUCAGUUUUCCUGUGGAGAAGAAAUCACUCCUCCUAGUGUAUGGAGAAUGGGUCAUAUUGAGGGUGCUUCCAAGACCCCGAGAGAGCCAUCAGCUCUUCACCCAGAGCCUCCUGACAUCCUGAGGGUAUCGUAGUGGUGAGAGAAGGUGCAAGG